CAUUGUCGUGACCCUGACCAAAAUAGACCGUGAACGCGUAAUCCAGCCCGCCGGUCGGCGACUCACCUCGUCGUUCGGCCAAGUCCUCGACAACCUCCUCUCCUCGGAGCGGGGGCUCGGGGUAAAAGAACCCACGGCGCCUAAGGCGUCAAGGAACACUGUGCCUAACUCGGGGACGCGUCUGGCUUGCUGGUCGCCCCCCGUGUUGCAAAGCUAUAUAAUCCACACGACUCUCGGCAACGGAUAUCUCGGCUCUCGCAUCGAUGAAGAACGUAGCGAAAUGCGAUACCUGGUGUGAAUUGCAGAAUCCCGCGAACCAUCGAGUCUUUGAACGCAAGUUGCGCCCGAGGCCAUUCGGCCGAGGGCACGCCUGCCUGGGCGUCACGCCAAACACGCUCCCAAACCCC
rnacentral:misc_RNA from 1 species